rnacentral:rRNA from 1 species
UUUAAUUGAAGAGUUUGAUCAUGGCUCAGAUUGAACGCUGGCGGCAGGCUUAACACAUGCAAGUCGA